CCGCGGUGAUGGCGCUCUUAGGACACCUUUGGAUCUAAUCGUGAAAAUAAAGCGGUGUCUGAGCAGC
ensembl:snoRNA SNORD58 Small nucleolar RNA SNORD58